UACGGGGGGGGCAAGCGUUGUUCGGAAUUACUGGGCGUAAAGGGCUCGUAGGCGGCCAACUAAGUCAGACGUGAAAUCCCUCGGCUUAACCGGGGAACUGCGUCUGAUACUGGAUGGCUUGAGGUUGGGAGAGGGAUGCGGAAUUCCAGGUGUAGCGGUGAAAUGCGUAGAUAUCGGGAGGAACACCAGUGGCGAAGGCGGUUGCCUGGGGCUUUGCUGACGCUGAUGCGCGAAAGCGUGGGGAGCGAUCCGG
rnacentral:rRNA from 1 species